UCGGGUUGUCAGAGGUUUUAGACUUGGUAAUGGUUUUAGCAUUCACAGGCAGCAGCGGAAGAAGCAUGAGAUACUCGCUCACUUUCUCAAACCCACACUCGCACUCGCACUCGCACUGCUUACCUUCUCCUCUGCUAUUCCAGUCCUCUCUCCCGCAGCGCUUCAACCUACACUCCAUGGCGGUGAAGUCAAUCAAAAGGGUUCGUUGUGAGCUCCAAGCCAAAGUCAAUGGCGCUCUUUCCGCAGACUCCGACCCUCGUUUCGUCGACCGGCAAAAAGCACUGGAAGCAGCCAUGAAUGAUAUAAAUAGCUCAUUUGGGAAGGGAAGUGUUACAAGAUUAGGAAGUGCUGGUGGAGCCUUGGUUGAAACUUUUCCCAGUGGCUGCUUGACAUUAGACCUUGCCUUAGGUGGUGGCCUUCCAAAAGGGAGAAUUGUGGAGAUAUUUGGACCAGAAAGCAGUGGAAAGACCACUCUAGCACUCCAUGCAAUUGCAGAGGUGCAGAAACUUGGGGGAAAUGCUAUGCUUGUUGAUGCAGAACAUGCUUUUGAUCCAGCAUAUUCAAAAGCACUGGGUGUAGAUGUAGAAAAUCUGAUUGUCUGUCAGCCUGAUCAUGGAGAAAUGGCACUUGAGAUUGCAGAUCGUAUGUGCAGAUCUGGUGCCAUCGAUCUUAUCUGUGUUGAUUCUGUCUCAGCUCUCACUCCACGAGCAGAGAUUGAAGGUGAGAUAGGGAUGCAGCAAAUGGGUUUGCAAGCACGUCUUAUGAGCCAAGCUUUGCGCAAAAUGUCAGGAAAUGCGUCCAAAGCUGGAUGUACUCUAAUAUUUUUGAAUCAAAUAAGAUAUAAGAUCGGUGUAUAUUAUGGGAAUCCAGAAGUGACAUCUGGAGGAAUUGCAUUAAAAUUCUUUGCCUCAGUUCGGCUUGAAAUACGUUCUACAGGGAAGAUAAAGUCUGUAAAGGGAGAUGAAGAAAUUGGGGUUCGGGUUCGUGUAAGAGUGCAAAAGAGUAAGGUUUCAAGACCAUACAAACAAGCUGAAUUUGAAAUUGUAUUUGGAGAGGGAGUUAGUAAAUUGGGUUGCAUCUUGGAUUGCGCUGAAGCUAUGGAUGUAGUAGUGAGGAAGAGUUCUUGGUAUAGUUAUGGGGACCACAGGUUAGGACAAGGAAGAGACAAAGCAUUGCAGUACUUAAGAGAGAACCCUCUUCUUCUUGAUGAAAUAGAGAAGUAUGUGCAAGGAAUAAAAUGAAAAUGUGGUUAUCAUAUGCCGUCAAUACUGUGAAUUAUGAAUUUAUGAACAUACCAUGAUGGUCGAGUUCAACAUUUUAAUGGAUGUAACAAGACAAGAGAUAGUUCGCUCCAUGAUGAUAGAUGGAACCGGACAAGUAGGCUCAUUUCAGACAAGUAACUUGCCAAUUCCCCAACACGAUGAAGAUGAUUUCGAAGAUAUCCAAUGAGGAGAAAAGGGAUUCGUUGUCACUGUUUUCUGUUCUGGAUCAAGGUAAAAGAAGUUUCAGAUAUUGCAAAGGAACAGCACCAGUUUGCUCCACUCGCUCCGCAUCAAAUGCAAGACCGGGGAUUUUGACAAGUUGACAUCAGUUUCUGCCUGACCCUGAUUCAGUUCCAGACCAAAAAUGUUGGCAGACAUAAAGGAAGUAUACUCCUUUUGUAAUUUUGUGAGAACAUAAAUUUAUGGGGUAGGAGAUGUGGGUCGGGCGAUGGGGGUCGUCUUUCAAACUAACAGGCUUAUUUGCCAAUUUGAGUUGUUAUUUCGUUGGUUUGAUAUCAUUCAUCAAGUAUUUGCUUUCAUGUUCACAUAAAGCAUGCGUUUGAUAGAUGACAUGACAGAUGUAGACUCCACAUAUUUUCUUACAUAGUUGUCAAAUUUGUCACGUCAUUAUUUAACGGUAAAUUGACAGAAAAUCUAAUGUAGGUCUGAAAUUUCAAUGGAUUUGUAAGUUGAUGUAUGACAUUACAAUAUUUAAAAGAUAAGGUUUGAGUUGUUGUA